rnacentral:lncRNA from 1 species
GGGGAAUUUCCCUGCACAAGCUCUCUUCUCUUGUCUGCCACCAUGUGAAACGUACCUUCCACCUUCUGCCAUGAUUGCGAGGCCUCCCCAGCCACGUGGAACUGUAAGUGCAGUAAACCUAUUUCUUUUGUAAAUUGCCCAGUCUCUGAUAUGUCUUUAUCAGUGCCAUGAACGUGGGCUAAUACACCAUACAAAUGUUAACCUUUACCUCUCUUGCUUGCUUUAUAAUUCUCACUCUUCCUCCCUUCUUCUCCCUCUCCUCUUUUCCUCCCUAUUUCUCUCUUCCAACCCUGGCCUUUCCAUAGGUAUGAUUACAAAUGUAGAUAUAAGUAUAGAUGCAAAUAUAACUGUAGUUAUAUAUUUUUUUCCUGAAACACUUGAGAGUAAGUUACAAACAUGAUACUCUUUACAUCUAAAUACAUUAGUGUACAGUUUAUGUCACUUAGCCACAUUACAAUAAACAAAAUCAAGAAACUAACAUUAAUAACAUUACAGUCUAACUUAGAAGCCAUAUUCCAAUUCAGCCAUUUAUACCACUAAUAUUCUAAACCAAUCCAGGAUCCCAUGUUGCCUGUAGUUCUCAUAUCUUUUUAUUUUCCUUUACUCUAGAACAGUCAGUUUUUCUUUGCCAUUCAUGACAGUUACUUUUUUUUUAAAGAAUACAGACCAGUUAUUUUGAACAAUGUUCCUCAGUUUGGGUCUGUCUGAUGUUUCCUUAUUAGAUUUAAGCCAUGUAUUUUUGGCAGGAGUACAACAGGAGUGAUGUGUUUUUCUCAGUGCAGCAUGUUGUCUUUAGUGAAACAGUAAUUUAACUGUCCAUUUGGUAAAGGUGGUGUCAGCCAAUUUUCUUUAAUGUAAAGUUACCAUUUUUGUCUUUGUAAUGAAUAACUAUCUUGUUGUGAGCUACUUUGAGAUUAUAUAAUCAUCCUGUUUCUCACUAUACUUUUAUGCAAUAAUUCUUUGAUGAGUCUUGCCUGAAAUAAUUAUUACUAGCAUGGUUUCCAAAUAGUGAUUUUUCUAUUUCUAUCGUUCGUUCUACCUUUGUUAGUUGGAAUUUUAUUGUAAAGAAGAGUUUUACUUUCUACCCUGCUAAACUUCUUUUCUGAGGUCUCUGCAUUCAUCUAUCUGUCCAUCCAUCUAUUUUCUUUUUUAUUUAUCCUUUGCUUCAUUUCAUAUGUACUAAAUGUAUAGUCUUAUUUCAUUUCUCUGACUUAAUUAGAUUUUCAUAAAAGACUCCCUUAGUGAUGUUCCUGCUCACUACUUUAUUUAUGUAUCAUUACAUGUGCCUACUACUGCUUUCUAUAGAGUUAAUGAGUAAUUUAUAUCAGAAAACAUAAAAGUCCAUUCUUUAAAAUCUGUUAGAGGCUUGUCUAUGAGGGAGACUCAAGCUUUCUAAGGUGACCUUCAUCAGAUGAAUCUGCAUAUGUUCAUGAACAUAUGUUUGGACUGUCUGUGCUCCUCCCCUAACCUCCUUGUCAAGAUGAUCCCCAGUUGGAUUGUUGACUGAAACUGUAAGGCUUACUUACUAUAGAUUUGGUAUUUUUAUCAAGUUUGGUUGAGUGUCUGACUCAAGUCUCACUCUUUAUAUUUAUUUCAACUAUAAGAUUUCUUAUGUCUUCUUAUGAUCUCUCUAACAUCUGUCCAUGGUCUGAUCAGAUUUGAACUUCCCAGAUUUGAGAUUUUAGUGACACAUACAAAGAUUAUGGAAUAAAAAUAACAUAAUCAGAGAUGCCAUUUAUUCAGUGCUUAAUGUGUAUCCCAGGUACUUUACAUAUAAUAUUUAAAAAUCUCAUAAAACCCUAUAAGAUCCAUGUGUAUAUCUCAAUUUUUAAAAAGUCUUUUGCCUGGUGUUCAGAGAAGCUAAAUAAUCGGACUGAGCUCGAAGCUAACAAGUAGAAGGGCUGGCAUUCAAAUACAGGUUUGUCCUAAUGGAAAAGGCCAUUUUUUCCGUUUGCAUUAAACAUUGAUAAUAUAUCUGUUAACAGUGAUAAAUAUACACAGGAAUAAUAAUGAUAGUAUAUGAAAUUAUUAAGAAUAAAAACUGUAGAGAUUCUGUGGCAGAAAAAUGAAGUUCUCUUCUUCCCAAAGUGCAGCAGAGUACUCAAAUUGCAAGUGUUUAUUUAUUUUAUUUGGCUUUACUUGUUUUGUUCCACUUCUUGCUUUCCUCCUUUGUAGAAUCAGUAUACUUAAAAAUCUACACACAUGCUCAAGAAAUUAUGAAGAAGCCUUAAAAUCCAUAAAAGCCAUAAUAAUGAUAAUGUUACUUUAUCCCCAUGAAGAUUUAUACCUAGCGCCAAGAUUUAUACCUAGCACCAAGCUUAUACAUAGCUAUAAGUUGAAUAUAUGAAAUUAAAUUUUUUGUUUCCAACAGCAGGUGGUGGUGCAGGGUUAUU